UCAAACUUGGUCAUUUAGAGGAAGUAAAAGUCGUAACAAGGUUUCCGUAGGUGAACCUGCGGAAGGAUCAUUAUCGAGGAGGGUCUCGAGGCCCGAUCUCCAACCCUUUUGAUAAGAUACCCUGUUGCUUUGGCAGGCCCGCCUUGUGGCCGCGGGGGAUCAUCGGUCCCUAGCCUGUGCCUGCCAGUGGCCCUCAAAAACCCUCAAAAUGUGUCGUCUGAGGAAUACAAUGAUAAAAAACUUUCAACAACGGAUCUCUUGGUUCUGGCAUCAAUGAAGAACGCAGC
rnacentral:misc_RNA from 1 species